GGGAACAUCGCCAAGCGGUUAAGGCCGGGACCGAAAGUCCUAAGUCGGAGGGUUCGACUCCCCCUGUUCCCA
rnacentral:tRNA from 1 species